rnacentral:rRNA from 1 species
UAACUAGGAUUCCCUUAGUAGCGGCGAGCGAAGCGGGAAAAGCCCAGCACUUAGCCCAUUAAUUUUAAUUAAUUAACUGGGGAUGCAGUGUAUGGAGAGUUCAUUAGCUUAUUGCAAUAGAUAGUAGAUUCAAGUCCAUCUUGAAUGGGGCCCCUUAUCCCAUAGAGGGUGCCAGGCCCGUAGAAAUUGCUAUCUGUAAUUUGCGAACUUCUCUUGAGAGUCGUGUUGCUUGAUAGUGCAGCAUUAAGUGGGUGGUAAACUCCAUCUAAGGCUAAAUAUAACCACGAGACCGAUAGAGAACAAGUACCGUGAGGGAAAGUUGAAAAGAACUCUGAAUAGAGAGUUAAAAAGUACGUGAAACCGUAUAGGGGUUAAGCCCGUUGAAUCUAAAUAUCCGAUGGAUGAAAUUCAAUACUGUUUUUCUAUUAAAAUUUUUUUGAUGGUUAAGCAAUAUGCACUUUUCAUCUAGUAGGACACUGCAAUCUGUUAGAUUAAAUAUAAUUGCUUGCAUAUUAUAUUUGAACUUAUCAAUGGAAUUUUUUUAGAUUGUUUACCUGUUAAUAGUACUAAACAUACUAUUCGGUAAAUCUAUUUGGGAAUUUCGAUAAUGUUUGACUGACAGAUUACAAAAAAUCAUACAACAUGCAUAUGUAAUUCCCCUU